AGGGUUUCUUUAUGUUUCAAAUCUCUACACUGUCACUCGCGUGUUGAUCAACGCUGAAAUUGAUGACAUUUUAACUUUUAAGAAGAGGUUCCUUUCAAACAUUACCCCUGAAACGUCUUCCACCUUUUCUGGGUUGAGUGCAUCCAGAAUAAAGGAUCCUACUGAAGAGUAUCUUUCAGAUUUUGAGUUCAGUACUAUUGGAUCUUUAAAUCAAAUCUCGGAGAAAAAGUUUGUAAUUAUUGUCGGAACUAUAAAGAGUUUUGCUUCCGAGGAUUCUUGGUUUUAUAAUGCUUGCAGAAAUUGUAAUCGAGCGGUCACCACAAAAACAAUUUCAAAAGAAAAGCAAGAUGGUUCCGAUGGUUUUGAAGAUAUUGUGGUUCUAGAGUGUAAGGACGAUGGCUGUAACAGUAAGA